rnacentral:rRNA from 1 species
AUCAACUUUCGAUGGUAGGAUAGAGGCCUACCACGGUGGUAACGGGUAACGGGGAAUUAGGGUUCGAUUCCGGAGAGGGAGCCUGAGAAACGGCUACCACUUCCAAGGAAGGCAGCAGGCGCGCAAAUUACCCAAUCCCGACACGGGGAGGUAGUGACAAUAAAUAACAAUACGGGGCUCUUUAGGGUCUCGUAAUUGGAAUGAGUACAAUUUAAAUCCCUUAACGAGGAACAAUUGGAGGGCAAGUCUGGUGCCAGCAGCCGCGGUAAUUCCAGCUCCAAUAGCGUAUAUUAAAGUUGUUGCAGUUAAAAAGCUCGUAGUUGAAUUUCGGGAUUGACGUGAUGGUCGUGCCUUAAGGGGUAUGAACUGUUGCUGUUGAUUUCUCACCUUCUGGAGAAACUUGAUGUCCUUAAUUGGGUGUCUUGCGGAUCCAGGACCUUUACCUUGAAAAAAUUAGAGUGUUUAAAGCAGGCAUUUUGCUCGAAUACAUUAGCAUGGAAUAAUAGAAUAGGACGGCAUGGUCUAUUUUGUUGGUUUCUAGGAUCACCGUAAUGAUUAAUAGGGAUAGUUGGGGGCAUUAGUAUUCAAUUGUCAGAGGUGAAAUUCUUGGAUUUAUUGAAGACUAACUACUGCGAAAGCAUUUGCCAAGGAUGUUUUCAUUAAUCAAGAACGAAAGUUAGGGGAUCGAAGACGAUCAGAUACCGUCGUAGUCUUAACCAUAAACUAUGCCGACUAGGAAUCAGACGAUGUUAAUUUUUUAAUGACUCGUUUGGCACCUUACGGGAAACCAAAGUGUUUGGGUCC